CCUACGGGCGGCAGCAGUAGGGAAUUUUCGUCAAUGGGCGCAAGCCUGAACGAGCGAUGCCGCGUGAGUGAAGAAGGCCUUCGGGUCGUAAAGCUCUGUUGCGGGGGAAAAAAGGCAGCAUCAGGAAAUGGGUGCUGACUGAUGGUGCCCCGACAGAAAGUCACGGCUAACUACGUGCCAGCAGCCGCGGUAAUAAGUAGGUGGCGAGCGUUAUCCGUAAUGGUUGGGCGGAAAGGGGGCGCAGGCGGUCCUGCAAGUCUGGAGGGAAACGGAUGAGCUCAACUCAUGCAUGGCCUUGGAAACUGGAGGACUGGAGAGCAGGAGAGGGCGGUGGAACUCGAGGUGUAGCGGUAAAAUGCGUAGAUAUAGGGAAGAACACCAGUGGCGAAGGCGGCCGGCUGGCCUGUUGCUGACGCUGAGGCACGAAAGCGUGGGGAGCAAAUAGGAUUAGAUACCCUUGUAGUC
rnacentral:rRNA from 1 species